rnacentral:rRNA from 1 species
CGACCGCUGGCGGCGUGCUUACCACAUGCAAGUCGACCGGAAAGGCCCCUUUGGGGGUACUCGAGUGGCGAACGGGUGAGUAACACGUGAGUAACCUGCCCUUGACUUCGGGAUAACUUCAGGAAACUGGGGCUAAUACCGGAUAGGAAUCCUUGCUGCAUGGUGGGGGUUGGAAAGCUUCGGCGGUUUUGGAUGGACUCGCGGCUUAUCAGCUUGUUGGUGGGGUAGUGGCUUACCAAGGCUUUGACGGGUAGCCGGCCUGAGAGGGCGACCGGCCACAUUGGGACUGAGAUACGGCCCAGACUCCUACGGGAGGCAGCAGUGGGGAAUAUUGCACAAUGGGCGGAAGCCUGAUGCAGCAACGCCGCGUGCGGGAUGACGGCCUUCGGGUUGUAAACCGCUUUCAGCAGGGGCGAAGCUUGUGGUGACGGUACCUGCAGAAGAAGCACCGGCUAACUACGUG